UAGAACUGGAGUGCAUUUUAAUCUCUUACUCUUUGUUUAUUUUUCAAGCUUUUAGAUACUUCCUGGUGAUCUGACCUGUCUGAAGCAGCGGCUAUUGCAGGACUGGACUGUUAGUUGGGUCCAUUCCUGACCUCCCACUUUUUUCAUGCUUUUAAUGCUUAACUGUUUCUAAACAUCACUUGCUGUAUUCUUGUUGCCAGCCUUCUUGUAGAACAAAUGAAAAAAAAAAAAAAUCAUAAUUGUGAUGAAAUUUUCAGGGGAAUGGCAGUGGAGGAUCCUUCGAUGCCUUGUGGAGUGAGGCUUGUGAUAGAAGACUACCCUUAUGCUUCAGACGGACUCCUCAUUUGGUCAGCCAUAAAAGAAUAUGUAGAAUCUUAUGUUGAUCACUUCUACUCUGAGCCUAACUCUGUCACAUCUGAUAUUGAGCUCCAAGCCUGGUGGAAUGAGAUAAAAAACAAGGGUCAUUUUGACAAGAGGAGCGAACCAUGGUGGCCUAAACUCGAUACCAAAGAAGAUGUAUCUGGCAUACUUACUACAAUGAUCUGGAUUGCAUCAGGGCAGCAUGCUGCUAUAAACUUUGGGCAGUACCCCUUUGGAGGGUAUGUGCCUAGUCGUCCUACCCUCAUGAGAAAACUCAUCCCGCUAGAAAAUGAACAUGAUCAUGAAAAGUUCAUCCGAAACCCUCAGCAUACUUUCCUGUCAUCUUUGCCAACUCAACUUCAAGCCACCAAAAUAAUGGCUGCUCAGGACACUCUGUCGACUCACUCCCCAGAUGAAGAGUACUUGGGUCAGGUAAGCCACCUGCACAGCCAUUGGAUCAAUGAUCACGAAAUAGUAGAAUUGUUCAAUAGAUUUUCUGCUCGAUUAGAGGAGAUUGAAGGAAUAAUAAACUUGAGAAAUAAGGAUGCCCGCCUUAAAAACAGAAGCGGUGCAGGUGUUCCACCAUAUGAACUGCUCGUUCCCACUUCAGGCCCUGGAGUAACAGGUCGAGGAAUCCCCAAUAGCAUUUCUAUCUAAAAGGUUAGCCUGGUUUAAAAUCAUUGUAAGUGUCAGAUAUUGCUGCCUUUGCCUAGCAUAUACCACUUUCUUUCUCAAAGAGCUUGUUCACCUAGCAU
rnacentral:lncRNA from 1 species